AUGUCAGGGCUACUGGCUAUUAACCAGCAGCUUUUCUUCCCAAUUGAAAGUGCUUUACAACCCUAGGGCCUUCUUCACACACGCGGCAUGGCUGCGUCAGGGUUGCCCCCAUUGCGCAAUAUUCCCC
rnacentral:rRNA from 1 species